AGCAUAUCAAUAAGCGGAGGAAAAGAAACUAACAAGGAUUCCCCUAGUAACGGCGAGUGAAGCGGGAAUAGCUCAAAUUUGAAAUCUCACUGUUUUACAGUGCGAAUUGUAGUUUAGAGAAAUGUUUUCUAGGCAGACGAUUAGUACAAGUUCAUUGGAACAUGACAUCAUAGAGGGUGAAAAUCCCGUCUUUGACUAAUUGCUCUGUUUAAUAUGAUACAUUUUCCAAGAGUCGGUUUGUUUGGGAAUGCAGACCAAAAUGGGUGGUAAAUACCAUCUAAAGCUAAAUAUUGGCGAGAGACCGAUAGCGAACAAGUACCGUGAGGGAAAGAUGAAAAGAACUUUGAAAAGAGAGUUAAACAGUACGUGAAAUUGUCAAAAGGGAAACGCUUGAAACCAGUAUUUUUUCUAGUAAUUCACCCAUCUUUUAGGUGGUUUAUUUUACUAGGAAAGAGUCAACAUCAGUUUUGUUUGGGGUAAAAAACUAUGGGAAGGUAACCUGCUUCGGGAGGUAUUAUAGACCAUAGCUAUGCCCUGGAUGAGACUGAGGUCUGCAGUAUUUUUUGGCCAUCUGGCACACCAAUACUUGGGAUGUUGACGAAAUGGUUUUAAGCGACCCGUCU
rnacentral:rRNA from 1 species